UACAGAGGGGGCAAGCGUUGUCCGGAUUUAUUGGGCGUAAAGAGCUCGUAGGCGGUUCGGUAAGUCGAAUGUGAAAUCUCCACGCUCAACGUGGAGGGGUCAUUCGAAACUGCCGUGACUUGAGUACGGUAGGGGAGUGUGGAAUUCCCGGUGUAGCGGUGAAAUGCGCAGAGAUCGGGAGGAACACCCGUAGCGAAGGCGGCACUCUGGGCCGAUACUGACGCUGAGGAGCGAAAGCGUGGGGAGCAAACAGG
rnacentral:rRNA from 1 species